AGACACAUCGACUAAUUCCAAACUCUAUCACUUUUCCCAUACCUGGGACAGUGAUCGAGGGGUGGUCUGUGUGUGUGAAUGGAGUUCCUACUAGCAACACCAGAACAACAGUCGAGAUUUUUAGCGGUCCUUAUAGUAACCUUCCAGUCCACACAAGCUGGCGAUUUGCGGGUUACCUGGCAGUCAAUGACAUGGUCAGAGGCUCAUGGGGAACACAGGAGGAUGUGAAGAACCCGCCGUUCCCCUUGGUGGUCGGAAAACCGUUUUUCUUAAGGAUGACAGUGAGAAAUUCCACCAUUGAUAUCUACAUGGACAACGUCUUCUUCAACAGACACUAUCUGAAAUUUCCUCUCUCGUCGUUCUCUCACAUCUACAUCUACGGAGACGUCAACGUGACGAAAGUAGAAACGUGGUGCAAAGAGUGACUGAG